CCUCUCUUUGCCAACUACAGGAAAAUGGAGAUCUCCUGCUGUAGGGCCACUGUUUUGAGGCCUCUGGCUCCACUCCAGUUCAUAUGGGGUUGCUGGUUUAGGGCUGCUACAGUAGAGGAGCUGAUUAGAAAACCUCUCAUGGAGCUGCAAUCAGUAUUUAAACUCAGCAGCUAGAAAGCCACCAGCCACGCCAAGCACACGUCCCACCAACCGCCCUGCUCCAGCUUACCCAAGGCCUCCUUACACAAGGGUCUCCUCACCUCUACAGCAACUUUGUCUGAGUGAGGCCUGCAGUACUGACUGAAUCCACCUUGCUGCUGCGGCAUGUGCUUUUAGCAGGUCAGCAGAUUACAGCCUUUGACCCAAAAACCCACUGUUUUUCUGUUACCUGCCAGGAGCUUUGGGUCAGGGCUGUUGAGUUUGAGAUGCCGGCUUGGAAUGUGGCAGCUGGCCCUGGAUGAACGCAGGGCAGCACAGCAGCAUCAACUGCAAAGAGCAUCGAUCCUUCUUCCCCUUUCAGUGGCAACACCAGUGUGACUCUGAGGGCGGGAAGAGGGAAAGGUGUGUGCCAACAGUAACCAGGAAGCCUAAAAUGCAGCAUUUCUGAAUCUUCUUCUCUUCAAUCUUUUUGAUUUCAAGAUUUCUGAACCUUCUUCUCAGAAGCAAUUGGUGCCAGCUGGCCUGCAAGCAUUAUCAAGUAGGGGUGCCUGACAUGAAGAGUGGAAGAGGAAGGAAAACAUGAGGAAACAAACUGAACUUUCAGAGGACAAUUAAUUACUCAUUAGUUUGAUAUUAUUAACUGUUAAUAAGUAACUAACCACAAGGAUCGGGCACCAGAUUGGUCACCAGAAGGGCUGUGGCGUGGCUGGUACCUUGCCCGACACACAGCAAUAUUUACCCACCAGCUUGAGCAAUGCCCAUCGUGCCCGGCCUGCACUCUUGCCUUACAGGGCAGCCUGAAUUUUGACAUUGACCUUGUUGCCUGGUAUGGAAGCCCUGGUCUUGUUAAACGCUUUUAUACGAGCCUCCCACAUCUACCUUUUAGGUCUCUGCCGUCUUCCCACCACGUCACUGGUGGAUUUCAGGUGUAUUUACUUUGUGUCCCUGACCCUCCUUUGCCUCGGUUUGCAGCCUGUUGAGUUCGCUUCUGGUUUUCAUCUGUUUUGCAGCGAGGCUUUCCUGCUGAAAUGCACUGCUGUAAUACGGUAUUUAUCAUACGCCUUGGGGGAUAAAGAGCGCAAAUCAGCCCUUGUUAUCCUCUAAUUUCCUACACGUAUGUUGCUUCAUUUCAUUAGGAAAUGCAACAUGAAACUGAUAAGCUCAGUGGCUAUGUUCUCACCAGAAGUCACUGCAUGUAUGUUAAAACUAUGGCAAAUAACAUCAGUGUUCUUCAGCCUCUAUUUCUCAUUAAUGAGCUCUGUGAUCCUUUUGUCCAUCCAAACACCUUAUCAGCCUCCAAUCCGAAUGCACCAAACAGUGUGAACUGUGAGUAUAAACUGGUAACAGUCUCCAGACUGCAGAGCACAUGAAAAGCAAUUUUUAUGGACACAGUUGGCUUCACCAAACCCUAAAUAAGGGACCAGUGAGUCUAGAAGAGUGAAUUCACAAGCACUCACUUUGAACUUCACCUACAGAAAAUGAAGCAUUCACUCACGGCUAAGAAUGAGGGU